rnacentral:miRNA from 8 species
GGGGGUCCCCGGUGCUCGGAUC